GGAGAAAUGACUUAGUGGUUAAAGUACUGGCUGUAUUUCCAGAGGACCUGGGUUCAAUUCCUAGCACCUACA
rnacentral:tRNA from 1 species